AAACUUAAAUGAAUUGACGGGGACCCGCACAAGCAGCGGAGCGUGUGGUUUAAUUCGUUGCUACACGAAGAACCUUACCUGGGUUUGACAUAUAGGUUGUAGGGAACUGAAAAGGACCGACCCUUCGGGGAGCCUAUACAGGUGUUGCAUGGCUGUCGUCAGCUCGUGUCGUGAGAUGUUCGGUUAAGUCCGCUAACGAGCGCAACCCUCGUCGUAUGUUAUAUGUGUCAUACGAGACUGCCGGUAAAAAGCCGGAGGAAGGUGAGGAUGAUGUCAAGUCAGCAUGACCUUUAUAUCCAGGGCUACACACACGCUACAAUGGUCUGUACAAUGGGUAGCCAAGCCGCGAGGCGGAGCCAAUCCUGAAAGCAGGCCUCAGUUCAGAUUGCAGUCUGCAACUCGACUGCAUGAAGCCGGAGUUGCUAGUAACCGCAGGUCAGCAAUACUGCGGUGAAUACGUUCCCGGGUCUU
rnacentral:rRNA from 1 species